rnacentral:rRNA from 1 species
UGCCAGCCGCCGCGGUAAUUCGGAGGGUGCAAGCGUUGUUCGGAAUUAUUGGGCGUAAAGCGCGUGUAGGCGGUUCGUUAAGUCUGAUGUGAAAGCCCGGGGCUCAACCCCGGAAGUGCAUUGGAAACUGGCGAACUUGAGUACGGGAGAGGAAAGUGGAAUUCCGAGUGUAGGGGUGAAAUCCGUAGAUAUUCGGAGGAACACCAGUGGCGAAGGCGGAUCUCUGGGGAUGUACUGACGCUCAGGGUCGAAAGCAUGGGGAGCAAACAGGAUUAGAUA